CCGUACUAGACGGGGUGGUAGCGGUGCCCUGUAACCUGCAACCCGCUAUAGCAGGGUCGAGGCCUGGCCGAGGGCUUCCCUUUGCGGGGUCUGCCCCUGGUAAGUGGUGUUGACGAUUGGGUCUUACGCAAUGGAGCUUUACGAACCCCGUCAGGUCCGGGAGGAAGCAGCGGUAAGUAAAUGCCUCCAUGUGCCGUAAGGGUGCCUGGUCCGAGCUAACUGCCAGGGUAACGCCCGGGGAGGAAAGUUCGAAGUCAGGUGUGCGG
rnacentral:SRP_RNA from 1 species